CCGCCCAUUUCCUGUUGUCCCCAACUCUGUCCCAGCUCUGUCCCUCCUGUCCCCAUCUCUGUCCCCAACUCUGUCCCCAACUCUGUCCCCAUCUCUGUCCCAUCUCUGUCUCUCCUGUCCCCAUCUCUGUCCCCAUCUCUGUCCCCUCGAUGUCCCCGUCCGUGCCCCCCCAGCGCGGUCCCCUGGCCCUGCUGGCCGCGGCCACCUCGUGUCCCCUUUGUCGCCGUCCCCUGCAGGACCCGGUGCUGCUGCCGUGCGAGCACCGCUGCUGCCGCCGCUGCCUCCUGCCCCCGCUGUCCCCGGCGGUGUCCCCGGGGGUGUCCCCGCUGUCCCCGGGGGUGUCCCCGGGCUGUCCCCAGGCCUGGCCCCGCUGUCCCCAGUGUCGCCGUCCCUGCGCUCCCGGACGCGUCCGCACCGCGGUGGCGCUGGCGGUGGAGGCGCGGAUCGCGCGGAGGCUCGCGGGGGACACCGGGGGCGACAAAAGCGACAAAAGCGACACCGGAGGUGGCACCGCGGGGACAGCGAGGAGACGGCGCCGGAACGGGAGGUGCAGCCUCGGGGCCCAACUGCGAGCGGACGCCGCCCCUCCCCCACCCCCGCGCGACCCCUCCCCCGCCGCCGCCGCCCCUCCCCCACAAUAAACACCGCCCCUCCCCCUCCUCCUCCUCUCGUCGCUUUAAUGUCAAUUGGGGGGGGGGGAGGGGGGAGGGGACCCCAAAACCGCCCCGAUGGGGUGGGGGAGGGGAUGGAGGGGGUGGGGGAGGGGCGGGGUUUGGGGUCUCCAGGUGAAUUUUUGGGGUCCCGGUGAAUUUUUGGGGUCCCGGUGUGGAUUUUUUUUUUGGGGGGGGGGGGAGGUUCGGGUUCCAACCCCAGGCAGUGAAAUUUUGGAAUUUUUUUUUGUGGGGGGAGGGCUUGGGGGGAAAUUUGGGGCUGAAAUUCCGGAAUUUUGGGGUUAAAAUGCUGAAAUUUUUCAGCGUUGAAACUCCGGGAAUUUUGGGGUUUAAACUCCAGAAUUUGGGAGCAAAAAACCCCGGAAUUUUUGGGGCUGAAACUCUGGAAUUUUGGGGUAAAAACUCCGGAGUUGGGAGCAAAAAAACCUGGAAUUUUGGCGCCAAAACUCUCGAAUUUUGCUGCUAAAACUCCAGAAUUUUUAGGGUUAAAACUCCGGAAUUUUGGCCCUAAAACCCAGGAAUUUUGGGGCUAAAAUUUCAGAAUUUUGGAGCAAAAACCCCGGAAGUUUUGGGGAAAAAACCCUGGAAUUUUGGGCGUAGAACUCCAGAAUUUGGGACUAAAAACCCCGGAAUUUUUGGCCCUAAAACCCAAGAAUUUUUAGGGCUGAAAUUCCAGAAAUUUUGGGGCCGAAAGGCCCGAGGUUUUGGCGCUAAAAUUCUGGAAUUUUGGGGCAAAACCCCGGAAUUUUUGGGGCCUGAAACUCUGGAAUUUUGGAGAUAAAAUAGGGGAAUUUUCAAUGUUAAAAUUCCAGAAUUUUGACUCUAAAACUUCCAAUUUUUGGCACUUAAACCCUGGAGUUUUGGGGAAAAUUUAACCCUGAAACGCCCAAAUUUUGCUGCCAAGCCCUGAAAUUCUCACCUUAAAACUUCCAAAAUUUUGAACCUAAACCCUGAAAUUUUAACCCUAAAACGCCCAAAUUUGGAGAUUAAAACCCUGGAAUUUCCAACUCCAAACCCCAAAAUUUUAACCCUGAAACUCCUGAAUUUUGAGACCAAGAGCAGAAUUUUCAGCCCCAAAAACUUUGGUCCUAAACCCGAAAAUUUUAACCCUAAAACUCCCAAAUUUUGGGACUAAAAUCACGAAAUUUCAGCGCUAAGCCCCCUGAAAUUUCAACCUUAAAAUUCCAGAAUUUUAACCCCAA
rnacentral:lncRNA from 14 species